AAGACUAUAGACCUGCGGAGUACCUGCGGAAGGAUCAUUAAUGAGAAACUGCCCCUCGCGGGUAGAUCUCCCACCCUUUGUAAACUUACCUUUGUUGCUUUGGCAGGCCCGUCUCCGGACCGCCGGCUUCGGCUGGCCAGUGCCUGCCAGAGGAUUCUAAAACUCUGUCUGUCAGUGUUGUCUGAGUCUAUAUACAAUCGUUAAAACUUUUAACAAUGGAUCUCUAGAUCGGAAGAGCAC
rnacentral:misc_RNA from 1 species